GGAGGCGUCGCCUAGUGGCCUAUGGCGCCCGCCUGCUAAGCGGGUUGGGGAGGUAGAAUCCCCUCGCGGGUUCAAAUCCCGCCGCCUCCGCCA
rnacentral:tRNA from 1 species